CUGCCCUUGCUGCCGUUCAUCAGUGCCACGAUUUGAUAAAUGCUCCUCAUGUAUUGCAAAAUUCUUGAAACCCAAUUUAUUGUUGUAACCGUUGGAAUGUGAAAACAAUCAACAAUCAUUAUUACUUGAUUUAAUUUCAUUUGAAGCCAUUCGUUUGCCAAAUCUUUAAAACCCUUCAUAUCAUUAUUGUUUUCUUUAUUUAAUUUCUAUGUUUCUCUAGAAGCCAGCGACCAGUCAUCGCACAACCACCAUCAAAUGCCGCACACUGUUGAUUCUCCGCCAAGUCGGCUCUGGUGGAUAGAACGAACGACGAAACGAGACCUGCCGAGAUGCGUGACAACGGCAUCCCACAAUUUUGGAUCACCAGAAACAUGUUUAGUUCAUGUGGGAUUGGAAUUGCAUUCUUUCAUAUGAUCCUUGAUCUUCCGCUCGCACUUGUAAAUACGCUUACCGCCCGGUUAAAUGAUGGGUAUGGUGUCCAUCGCGAUGAUUUGAAGUAAUACUUGAACGAUUUUACAUGCAUACUUCAUAGUGGAAAGUAAUUGUUGAACAAAUUUUUGGUUAUUGCAGCUACACUGUAUCUGCAUUUUGCCACAUCAGUCAUUAUUCAUGAAAUAACAACAUCUCUUGGAAUCUACUGUUUUAGGAUAAGAAUUGCAAAGAAAAAGGCCUGAGACAUGUUCAUGUUCGAUAUGAAGGUUACUACCAGCUCACAAAUUGGAAUUGGAUAUAUCUAAUAUACCCGAGUUUUGUGACCGGUUUCGUAUCUGUUGUUACAGAUUCGGCUGAUCGGAAUCAAGGGUUUCAAAUAAAGUGGUGGAACUUGCAUUAGUUAAUAGACCAAAGAGUCAAAGUGGGAUUCAAGGAAACUUUGGGGGUGGUUUUUUGAGUCUUCGACUUGGAGGUAGUGAAGAAUCGGUGUCUACUUCACCUUGCGUCAUGGAUUUAUAGCGGAUUGAAUCAAGGUGAUACUGCUCUUCCAUUAAAGGGUUGGCCUUUGAGUGGAAUGGACGAUUUACACCCUAAUAUGGGUUUGCAAGUACAAAAGCUCAAUAUGCAGAAUCAACAUCAGUUCUAUUUGCCUUGAAACAUGCCCAGGCCCAAGGUAAUAUUGUAACUUCACCAAAUUAUGGGCUUGUUGGAUUAUCUAGAGGCAGUCUAAGUAUGAAAGAUGGUCAAACCACAAGAAAUGAUGGAUCCCCUGGUCAAAUGAAUUCACCCCAGGUUAGGAUUUUCUUUUUAUGAUCUAAUUCUUGGUUCUCUGUGUUAUUAUAACAUCUCUCUUUUAUCUACACAAUCCCCAACAAGACCACUUUAAUCUGUACUUCUGUUCAAAUAUCUGGCUAUUGAUAAUAAGAGGGGUUCGUUUAUGUAGUACAAUAAUUAGGGCUUAAAAUAAGAUAUCAGUUACAACGGUUGAAUUAGCUGUAUGUGUAACUUAUUGCCAUCUGGGGUUAAGCCAACUUCACUUGGUUGUGUAUGCUUGACUGCAAGCCUUGAUAUAGAGGCUGCAAAUUCGGUGGGUUUUGAUAACAGAUCAAAAAAGAAAGUUUUAGGAUGGACAACAAAUUGUGUGGGUUCCAUGAGCUUCCUUUUGGUUUCCUCUAAAGAAGGCCUUUGUGCUGCAAAACUUCAUAGCUGUAGAGCAAAUAAGUGGUCAAUUGGACUAAAUUAACUUUAAAAGUAAAUUGAUAAAUAACUAGAGACAUGAACAAUUGUUAAGAGUCGAAUAAAGUAAUAAACUACUGGGAAUAUAAAAAGUCAAAGUUUUAAAGUAGGACAGGAACCAGUUCAUGUUUGUCAACUGUCCUGUUGUCUUCUUGUGACUUUUGAAACUUAGAUGUGGAUAUUUCUAUAACUUGAUCAACUAUAUAGACAGUUGCCCAAGAGUUUCAAUUGAAUAUCCAUAUGGAGCACCACCACAAGCUUACCAAAAAAAAUACGAUGUGCAGUAAUAGGUGUUUUUUUUUGAAACAAUGAUGUAGUAUCAUAGUGUGGAUUGCACCAUUUGAUCCAACUAAGAAGGAGGAGGAGGUUAUUCAAGAUGUAAACUUUAAGUACUUUUUAAAAUUCCUUUUUUACUAAGAUAAUGCGAUUAGUGAUCCGAUCCUCUUUGUAUUAACUAUGAACUUAAUAACAAGCAUUAAAUAGUGUGAUUAUAUAAACCAUUAAAAGUACUUUAACGAACCACUAACCCGUAACUUAGGAAUUACACUACAUCAGUUUAUGAGCAGCAUCUGGUUAUGAGCCCGUAAAAUAUCACGAUCAAUGGCCCUUCAAAGGAGUAUUUGGAAUUCAGGAGCCUGCUUUUGUCGCGUUUUCUGCACUUAACCUUGCAAUGCAUUUUCAUGGGUGGUUAUCGUUCUUCAUCCUCUUGCAUUACAAGCUGCCGGUGAAAGCAGAUAAAAAGCCGUACUAUGAGUAUGCUGGUCUAUGGCAUCUAUAUGCGCUCCUAGCCAUCAUUUGACGCCUCUACCCUUGAGAAAUCGGUGCCUCCAGGGUAUCUGAAAUUCAUUAGUAAUUUGGAAAAUGAGAUUUUAAAUGCGUCGAUGGAGAAGGAGAUUUUGAAGAUUGAAGUGAUGCGAGCCCAACCGAUGAUCAACAUUCUUCAGUAACAUUCUUCAGUGACUGCUUGACUGAAGAGAAUAAUGAAUUGAGGAAGGGUGUUUAGGUAAUUACAGCUCUAUACUUGUGUUCAUUAUUACUUUAACCAUGUAGCUAAUGAACACAACAAGGUUAUGGGGAAAGGGCCAUUUCUAGGUAACAUGACUCUUUAUCGCUUAUUUUCCUUAGAGAUCUUAGUCAAAUAAAGUCUUAUGUCAAGACCUUCUCCUGUUAGAAGCUGUGGAAAUGCUGUUAGAGUCGGUUAGUGCUGUUAAUCUAUGGUUAGAAGAGAUUAGUUCUGCUCUGUGUUUACAAGCAUAUUUGACAAACAAAAGAUAAUAAAGAGAAACAGGCGUUAUUCUUCCUUCCGUGAGCCACGCAACGGGCGUGAUAGAUAAUAAAGAGUCGUUGGGCUCCUUGACCAACAGUAAAAGGCUUAACAUUGUUGCAUAACUCAAUUAAUAAAGGAGCAUAUGUUUAUUUUUCAUGCAAUUAUUUUGCUAAAUUUAUGUAUUGUCAUGAAGUGCGGUGCUUAUACACAUAUACACAACUUAUAUAUGACUUAUUUAUCGUUUUAAGGUUUGAUUUAUA